UAUCUGCACCGUGCUAUGCAGAAUAUCACUUCAUUACAAAAUCAGUCUGGAUUUCUAUGCUGACCAAUGUAAUGUACUACAGCCGGUAUACAGCAUCUGCUGUGAGUGCAGCUUGUUGAAAAGUUAUGGAUUUACAAGCAGGGUCAUCAUCAGAAGUGUACUGGAGAUAGUGGCCCCAGAUAGAAUUAUUUUUUUUUUCAAAAAGUGUCCCGUUUGCUGACCUCUUGAUGUCCACCACAAUAUGAUUUCAGCAUGACCUUGUGUACAGAGGGGAGGAGGGGCAUCUAAAUCAAUUUUGGAGUCUGGUCAGGAGACGUGGGUGACAUAUAUGAAGAGGAGAAGGAGACUUUAUCCAGGCAUGCUGCAUAAAUGGAAGAUCUUAAAACCUGGAACCAUAAGUAGUCAGGUGUGUCAAUGGUCAAGCUUUGCACAAUCUACUUCCAUGGGUAGACCUUCUUCGUAUGGACACUAGGCUAUGAAGGAAAGAUCUUGUGGAGCCCAAGAGUGGACAGCGAAGCUAGGACUUUGGUUCAGUAUGCGGUGCCAGCCUCAUGCUUAGCCGUCAUGGUUGGGAAUGUGUCAUCCUUGCACUCCCGUGAAAAUAAUCAGGAUUAUUAAUUAGACGUUAUUUCCUGAGCCUGCGGUUCUACUGAUCAUAAAGAAUCAUCUGCA